AGCAUAGAGAUAUAAAUAUUAAAAAUAUACAAAUAUUUCUCUGUAUAAAUAUCUAUAUCUCUAUUAAUAUCUAUCUCUCUCUCUCUCUGUAUCUGCUUUUGAAAGCAACUGGAAUUGAGGCCUAUUAUUGCAGCAUAUCCUAGCCCACACAUCCCUAUACAACACUGAGGUUGUCAGCUGAAAAGAUGGACAGAACAUCAUUGGGCUACUCAAAGAGCUAUGCUCAGGGCCUUCCCAUCUCUGGUCUUCCAGUAAGGUGAGGGCUGGGAGCUGAAGAUGGAAGGAGCAGCACAGGUCAACAUGUGAGAGAUAUGACAAGUGGCCAUUCCUAACUGAUGUCAUCAAGGUGCCUCUAAACAUAGGAUUUAGGCCAAGCACCUCUAGUUCUCCAAAAGCAGUUGGGAGAAGAUGCAGAUACAGGUCAUGAACUACACUACCAGGAGGACACCUUUGCAGAUUCAAUCCACUUCGGGAGACAUUCUGGAAACUCAGUUGUAGGAUCUAGUGAACCUGCCAUUUUCAGGAGACAUUUCAUCAGACAAUCAAGUGAAUUCACAUCCCAGAAGAAAAUAUGUAAACAUUCAUAUCAGAUAAAAACCUUAAGAAUUAAAUCUGGAAGACCUGAAUUUCAGUCUUAAGGCUACUUCUUUUUUUUUUUUUUUUUUUUUUUUUACCGGCUCAGGGAUUAGUCCAUGAUAUUCUGUAUUGCAGUUUCCUUUCUUGUAAAAUAGAGAAUGUAACACUAGCCUUUCACACAACACUAGGUCAUGAAGAUCUAAUGACAUCAUGAAUGUGAAAGCAUUUUGGAAACCCAAAAGUUUAAUAAAAG
rnacentral:lncRNA from 1 species